GCAAGUCGUACGAGAGUUUUUACUCAAGUGGCGGACGGGUGAGUAACACGUAAGAAUUUGCCUUUAGGAGGGGGACAACAACUGGAAACGGUUGCUAAUACCCCAUAUGCUUUCGAGUGAAAUGGUUUUUCCGCCUAAAGAGAAGCUUGCGGCUGAUUAGCUUGUUGGUAGAGUAAUAGCCUACCAAGGCGACGAUCAGUAUCUGGUUUGAGAGGACGAUCAGACACACUGGAACUGAGACACGGUCCAGACUCCUACGGGAGGCAGCAGUAGGGAAUUUUCCGCAAUGGGCGAAAGCCUGACGGAGCAAUACCGCGUGAGGGAUGACUGCCUAUGGGUUGUAAACCUCUUUUUUCAGGGAGGAAUAAAUGACGUGUACCUGAAGAAUAAGCAUCGGCUAACUCCGUGCCAGCAGCCGCGGUAAGACGGAGGAUGCAAGUGUUAUCCGGAAUCACUGGGCGUAAAGCGUCUGUAGGUUGUCAAAUAAGUCAACUGUUAAAUCUUGGGGCUCAACCUCAAAAUCGCAGUCGAAACUAUUAGACUAGAGUAUAGUAGAGGUAAAGGGAAUUUCCAGUGGAGCGGUGAAAUGCGUAGAGAUUGGAAAGAACACCGAUGGCGAAGGCACUUUACUGGGCUAUUACUGACACUCAGAGACGAA
rnacentral:rRNA from 1 species